AGAUCAAUUCAUUUAAUGCAGAAUUUGACCGUUAUUCUUUUGUGCAAAUUAUGAUUGUGAAUACCGAAUUUCUUUGCUGUUUCGAAGGUUCACACAACGUGCCUUAGACAGCUUUAAAGAGUCCUACUUCCUUUUGAUUGGGAUAGGUGUAGUAUCAUUAGCAAUUAAUUUAUUACAUGCACUACAAGCUGCAUUAAUUGUAGAUAACGCGAAUGAACUGGCAAUAUCAACUUUCUAUGUCAUUGUUCAUUUUCUUUUCAUUUUCAUAGGGAAUUAUGGUGGGCAGACAAUUACAGAUCAUAGCGCAGAUGUAUUAAAAAAGUUAUAUCACGUGCAAUGGUAUAUAGCACCCAUACAAGUGCAAAAAUUAAUUCUUUUCUUAAUGUUAAGAAAUACAAAACAUUUCGGUUUAGUCAUCGGAGGAAUAUAUGUUGCUUCAUUAGAAGGUUUUAUCACGGUGAGAAAAUUCAUAAUGAAUAAUCAGUGCAAGCAUUUAGUUAAUUAUGCUAAUGCAGUCUUGCGUAUUGCACAUUAUGCAUUAAUAAUUCCAUAAUUAUUAUUAGUCUCUGUGCA